CAGUUCGGAUUGUACUCUGCAACUCGAGUGCAUGAAGUUGGAAUCGCUAGUAAUCGCGGAUCAGCAUGCCGCGGUGAAUACGUUCCCGGGCCUUGUACACACCGCCCGUCACACCAUGGGAGUUGGUUCUACCCGAAGCCGGUGCGCUAACCGCAAGGAAGCAGCCGACCACGGUAGGGUUAGCGACUGGGGUGAAGUCGUAACAAGGUAGCAGUAGGGGAACCUGCGGCUGGAUCACCUCCUUU
rnacentral:rRNA from 1 species